rfam:Paucibacter sp. KCTC 42545, complete genome.
AGUUGCUAUCGGUACACCCGUUCGAAAGGCGGGGUCACAAAGCCUCCGGUCUACUUCCUUAGCGGGAAACGAUAGCGGGGCUGCCUCG